AGAAAAUGGUUUUUUUUUUUUUUUGAUGAGAAAGGGGUGAAGAGAAGGAGCGUGAGAUGGUCAUAUGGGCUUCGAGAACUUAGUGGGCUUCCGGAAUGAAAUCUCAAUCCGGGCUAGAAGAUCGGAAUCAAGUUGAAAGUUAAUGGGUCAUUCUCAUUCCAGUCUGGAAUAGAAAUUCCAAACCGAUUCAUGCGAACCAAACAAAAUUAACAGGAUUUGAUAAAAUUGAUUUCCAUUUCAUACCCAAAAUGGAUGAACCAAAUAAGUCCUUAAUGCACAAAUAAAUUCCAAAAAUCAUCUUGAUAAGUAAAAAAUUAAAAUUUAACCGAUUAGCUAUGGUCUCUGCUGGCAUCGUUGCCAUUUUUAAUUUUUUUUAAAAUAAUAAUUUUAGAUGAGUGAUAUUAUGAUGGAAGAAAAUUUUUAUUAUUAUUAUUAUUAUUAUUGGUUAA
rnacentral:lncRNA from 1 species